GCCCGGAUGGCGAAAUUGGUAGACGCAAGGGACUUAAAAUCCCUCGGUGGCAACACCGUGCCGGUUCGACUCCGGCCCUGGGCACCA
rnacentral:tRNA from 1 species